ACGCUUGGCGGCGUGCCUAAUACAUGCAAGUCGAGCGAAUCUUGAGGUGCUUGCACCUCUUGGUUAGCGGCGGACGGGUGAGUAACACGUGGGCAACCUGCCUGUAAGACUGGGAUAACACCGGGAAACCGGUGCUAAUACCGGAUAAUCCUUUUCCUCUCAUGAGGAAAAGCUGAAAGUCGGCAUCUCGCUGACACUUACAGAUGGGCCCGCGGCGCAUUAGCUAGUUGGUGAGGUAACGGCUCACCAAGGCGACGAUGCGUAGCCGACCUGAGAGGGUGAUCGGCCACACUGGGACUG
rnacentral:rRNA from 1 species